ACGUAGGGUGCUAACGUUGUUCGGAAUCACUGGGCAUAAAGAGCGCGUAGGCGGUCUGAUAAGUCAGGUGUGAAAUCCCCCGGCUCAACCGGGGAACUGCACCUGAUACUGUUGGGCUUGAGUGCAGGAGGGGAGAGCGGAAUUCCUGGUGGAGCGGUGAAAUGCGUAGAUAUCAGGAGGAACGCCGGCGGCGAAAGCGGCUCUCUGGCCUGUUACUGACGCUGAGGCGCGAAAGCUAGGGGGGCAAACGGGA
rnacentral:rRNA from 1 species